ACGUCUAAAUUCAAUUAAAAUUGUUAGUGAAAUUUCCCAUUAUUAUCCUCUUGCGUAUGUGGUUCUGCGCAUGCGCGUUAAACACAACCAGUCUUCCGCCGUGACGUAAUCUAAAAUAUUCGCCUAGUUGAUUUUGUUCCUGUUUCCUAAAGAACCUUUUUAAUAAUGUUCUACAUCAUGAACUGGAGAUGUUUAUUAUUCUUCAUGGUCCAUCUGCUGAUACACAAUGUGUUGGUGCAGAGCAUUGAGACUCGUGAAGCCUUCGUAGGUGAUACAGUCAUCUUACCAUGUUCCAUCAACCGCACUGUAGUUAGUGUGGAUGUAUUUUGGCGAGAUAAUGAAGAAAAAGUUUUGGUUGAUAUCAUCAAGAGUAAAGAAGAUUUUUCUGAGCAGAGCCCAGAAUACAGAGACAGAGUUCAAACUUUUCAAACUGAUAUUACAAACGGAAACUUCUCCAUCAAGCUGAGUAAUGUGACGCUCUCUGACUCGAGAAAUUACACCUGCAACACCCCAACAUCUAUUCAGAAAGUACAGUUAAGUGUUAAAGGUUUAAUAACCCAGUCUCUCACACUGCAGGGUCAGUAUACAAACCAACAAAGUGGUGACAUGACAAUAAGAGCAAGCAGCAUGUUCCUUCUGGGGUUCAGUCUGCUGUACAGUUUGGACCUUUGAAGACAACAUGAAGUUCAAGAUGUAUAAAUAAAAAAUAUUGCAGGAGGAGGGAGAAGACCGUCAGUCCGGCUCAGGAAUAGCAUCACCAACAACCCCACAUUCAUGGCUGUGUGCUCAGUCCACUGCUGUUCACUUUGCUGAUUUACAACAGCUCAGCAAUGCUCAGCUUCAGCCACAAUAUGAGAUUGGCCUAGUACACAGUACACAGUGUAUUACAGUGGUGUGUGAGCUGGUGACAGUACAGUGUAUUACAGUGAUGUGUGUGAGCUGGUGACAGUACAGUGUAUUACAGUGAUGUGUGUGUGAGCUGGUGACAGUACAGUGUAUUACAGUGAUGUGUGUGUGAGCUGGUGACAGUACAGUGUAUUACAGUGAUGUGUGAGCUGGUGACAGUACAGUGUAUUACAGUGGUGUGUGUGAGCUGGUGACAGUACAGUGUAUUACAGUGAUGUGUGAGCUGGUGACAGUACAGUGUAUUACAGUGAUGUGUGAGCUGGUGACAGUACAGUGUAUUACAGUGAUGUGUGUGAGCUGGUGACAGUACAGUGUAUUACAGUGACGUGUGUGAACUGGUGACAGUACAGUGUAUUACAGUGAUGUGUGUGAGCUGGUGACAGUACAGUGUAUUACAGUGAAGUUAUUGACUGUUUUUAUAGUAUUCGCUUUUCGGGUUUUGCACUUUGCAGACGGUCCCUUGGAAUCUGUCUCAGGUGUAUGUUUAUAUAAAUAUACAGGAAAAUUUGAUUUAAAUCGUAAAAUUGAAUUUUUUGUGAAAAAAGCAGGGAUUUUUAUUUUAGGCCAUAUCGCCCAGCCCUUGUACUUUCACAACCAAGACACUGGUACGCUGUGUCAUCAACGCUGCGAAAAAUGCGAACCAUACCUCCUGAUACAAUACUAUAAUGCAUUCCUGCUUCACCUUCACUAUUCAUUAAACAUGCUUUUUGCCUUCCUUGUGUAAAAAGGUACCUAGUGCAUGCUGAAAUGAAACAAACUUAGGUUAAAUGCUUUAGCAUAUAACACCAUUACCCAUAUUUAGUGUAUAUUUAAACAAUAUACAACAAAUUUUAACCUUCAUAAAGUCACCAACAAUCUUGAAAAUGUUGCUAUGUGACUGAGCAGCAUCUCAUACUUGAACAGAAUUGGGUCACAAAGAAGCCACACUCACUGACAGCCCAUUGGACUAGCUGGAUAGCAGUCUCAGAGAGUUUUGUGCGUGUCCAUUAAAUGUGCAUCUGCUGAAACUGAUUUCUCUUGUCAAUUUUUAUCUUCAGCUGACAAGCCUUCAUUUUCGCAAGUUCAUGAGUAAUGUAUUGGCCGCCAUGUGAUGUACCCCAAUGAUGUUAACACUGCUGGAGUAACUAUUUUCUGUUUCUAGAAACCAGGACUGUUUUUACGUGAGUUAUACAUUACGUUUAUAAACUAUACAUAAAAAAAAAACUAGUUUAGUCAUUUAGCAGGUAUACGUUUUUCUUUGCUCUCAUUUAUAGCAAGAGACAUUUAUUUUGUGGCCAAGUCACACAUGAUUUGUGACCUUUACAGAUACAUUUUUUUGGUCAUAAGAAUUGCCUGUACAUUUUAUAUUAGAACAUUUGUUUAUUUUGCAGUAAUAACACUAUUGGAGUGUACUGAAAAAACUACAUAGUGAUGUGUACUGCCAUCUAGUGGGAAAAUUAUUGCUGAUUUACUAUGGAACGUUUAAUUUGUCAUGCACAGUUAUACAGGGUACAAUGCAUAGUGACAUUCUGAGAGGUUGAGUACAGGUGAGAAUAUACAGUGUAUAUAUUAUAAGUAUAUUAAAAAAUAAUAGAAUAUAAUAGUUAAAAAUAUAUAGCCAAAAAUGUUAAAGAAUGAUUUAAAAAGGAGUUUAUUGAUUUAAAAACAACUGUAUUGUUUCCGCUAAAGAAAAUAGUGCGCUCCGUCUCUACGGUUAGAAUGCUGGGUGUCCAUGGCAACGCUCCGUUUUUCAUGGCAACGGUGUGUUAUAGUUCGCAGCGGUCUGUUAUCAAGAAAUAAAAUAGAAUGAAAAGAAUUCGUCCACAUGCCGCUCAAAAUAAAUAAAUAAAAUAAAAAUAAAAACUGAGCACAACUCCACCCCUGGUCUAGGCAGCUUUUUGUGUUAAAUUAUAUUUCCUGUCGCUGCGCAGGCUCUUUUAUUGUACAUGACAGCUUAUGUCCCGAUGACCGGUCUUUGCAUUACGAUUAAAAGCAGUAUGAAUAAAGUAAAAAAUGUGAUGUGUGGUCAAGUUCGAGUGUGUGCACUGUUUAAACGUGUUCUCAACUUCUCACUGAUUCUUUUGUGAUUCGCGGAGUUUUGACAAGUUUUAUAGCCUCGAUAUUGUUUCUUAUUCAAAAGUGGUGACAGAAAAAACUCAGCACCCCCCAACCUGAAACCUCUUCCCAAGCCCCUGUCACAAUCACAUCAUAAUCAAAAUGAAUAAUUAGGCUUAAAAGCAAAUGUAUAUGUAAGGGAAUCAAGUUUAACGAUUACAUGUAAUAUUGCUCCAAAUAUCAUCAAUAAUGGUGUGUGCAAUACAUACAUACAUACAUACAUACAUACAUACAACACAGGCCGUUUGGUAGGACUUUGGGCUGUUUUAAACCAAGUUUGGGUUGAAAAUUGUGGGUUUGGGUCGGGAACACAGACGUUAAAGAGAGCAUGCACGUCAACGUUAAAAUCGGACGACACCAGUGCGCGAAGCCGCCAUCUUCUUUGCGUCUUCAGAUAAAAGCGAGUGAAAUUCUGUCUGAAACGUAUGUUAUUCAAUAUGUAUUUAACGAUGUUCAUAGCCAUAAAAAAAAUCUGCUUUACUGUAUACACUAAUGUUAUAAGCACAAUUUAGGCUUUCAGUCAGGCUUUCAGUGAGACUAUCUCGCGGCCGUGACAGCCGUGCUCCAACUCAUGACAGAUCCCAGAACAGUGAACAGGAGAGCGUGCGUGGCAUCUUCAUCGGAGCUUGGAAGGAAAUAGGGUAAAUGCUUUUAUAUAUUACUUGUGUACGUGUUAAAUCUACUUUAUUAUAAAUGAUUUUGUGUUAGAUACGGUUUUGAUACGGCGUUUACUUGAUGGUAACGUAUUUUGUUAGACUUAAGUAAAGUUGGUCACAUUCACAGAUUGGAGUUUCCCGAGUCAAUAACUCCUGAGCUAAACACUGUUACUACACAAAACACGGUUGUAGCUGCGUCUCUACAUUACUACGAUAGAAAAGAGGUGUUUUUGGGUUGUUUUUAACCCAGCAGUUUUUAGAGUGUUUAUAUAUACACACCCCUACAGUUUUGAUCUUAGGCUUUUCAUUAAGUUAUUUAUUUCCACUUUAACACUUGUGUUCCUGAUAUUAUUGCAUUUAAUGAGGCCUCGUUGUAUUUAUUCUUACAAUAGAUUCCAGAUGUGGUCAAGCUACAAUUUUUGACUAAAACUAGACUAAAAUUAAAAGACUUUUAGUCGACUAAAACUUGACUAAGAUACCUUGAGUUUUCUUUUGACUAAAACUAGACUAAAAUGACGAGACUUUUAGUCGACUAAAACUAAGACUAACAAAAAAGAUAUGUGAAUGACUAAAUAUGACUAAAACUAACAAGGACAUUUGGCACAAGACUAAGACUAAAUUAAAAAUAGGUGACGAAAUUAACACUACUGCCAUUUGCAAAUUGUAGUGAUAUGCAAGUUUAGUGCAACGUAUUGGGAAUAUUGAUAAAAGUAGUUGGUAAAAGCGGUCUUUAUUAUAACAGGAAUCAUUUAUUUAUAUACACACACACCAAACCCGUUUCCAAAAAAGUUGGAACACUGUACAAAUUAAUUGUGAAUAAAAACAGAAUGCAAUGAUGUGGAAGUUUCAAAUUUCAAUAUUUUAUUCAGAACACAAUAUAGAUGACAUAUCAAAUGUUUAAACUAAGAAAAUGUAUCAACUUAUGAAAACUAAGUUGAUUUGGCAUCAACUCAUCUCAAAAAAGUUGGGACAAGGCCAUGUUUACCACUGGGUGGCAUCCCGUCUUCUUUUUAUAACAGUCUGCAAACGUCUGGGGACUGAGGAGACAAGCUGCUCAAGUUUAGGAAUAGGAAUGUUGUCCCAUUCAUGUCUAAUACAGGCUUCUAGUUGCUCAACUGCCUUAGGUCUUCUUUGUCGCAUCUUCCUCUUUAUGAUGCAUCAAAUGUUUUCUAUGGGUGAAAGAUCUGGACUGCAGGCUGGCCACUUCAGUACCCGGAUCCUUCUACUAUUAUUAGUGUGAAGCGUUUACUAUACUAGUCCCUGUGAAUGAGCCGUUACUGUAGGAGUGAUUUAUAUUACAGUGAGGACUUCUGUCUGAUCUGCUGCUGUUAGAGAACAUGACUGUACACCUUCUGGUCUGGGAAUCUAACUGUGAUGUCAUACAUGAAUUAAUCUGACAUUAAUGUGACUGAUGUUAGAGUGAGUUUUGAAGUGGGGAUGAGGGAGGAAAAGAGCAGCUGUGGUUAUAACUACAUUGUAGACUUCCGCACACUUCUGCAUCUGAACUUGAACAGAAGUGUUUCCUGACUUAAACACACUUACUGCAGUGUGUCUCGAGCGUCUGGACAGCAUUUGACUGUCAGCAUGAGGAUCUUAGUGCUUCAGUUUUGUGAGUAGAUUCACAAGUUUGUGAUUAAAUUGUGUAACUUUUCACUGCAUAACUUUGUCCUACUGAUUUUCUGUAAAUUAUUCUAAUCUAACUUCUUGUGUGUUUGUGUUUCCUGAUCAGAUCUACUUGUGUUCUGUGGAGCUGCUGAAUGUUUCACACAGAAGUUUGUAGAUUUGGGACAAAAUGUGACUUUAAAGUGUGAUGUGUCUUUAAGUAAUGUGUACUGGUUCCUGAUGAAGGCGUCAGAACCUCCAGUGUUAAUAUUACGCUCUUUCAACAGCAAAUCCGUGAGGGCAGAUUACAGUAACACAACCUUCAACAAGAGAUUCUCACUGCAGUAUAACAGCAGUUUAUUUAUACACAAUAUCAGUACUAAUGAAUUAGGAGUCUAUUGUUGUAUUCAAACUCAUACUGAUUCACCUCCAAACAUCAGCCGUGGAAUCAGACUUUACAUCCACAGUCACUCAGCUGAGAAUCAGACACGUAACACUGAGCUUCUGCAGGAUCAGACAGGAACCGGGUUCCAGACGAGUCUCAUCAUCUCAGUAAUAAUGAACUGUGUUCUGGUCAUUACAGGUGUCACAGUUUUUACAGUUCAGCGCUGCAGAAGAUCUCCAAAAACUCAGACACAACCUCCUGGUUCAUCACAGCAGCAACAAAACAACGGCAACCUCGUGUACUCUGAGGUGCAGUUCCUUACGACAACCAGACCUACCAGGACGUCUGACCAGAACUGCACGUACGCUCUUGUAAAACCCCGAACACAUGACCUGGAGUGACCCGGCGUGACCCCACAGACUACACGUUUCAUCACACUGUAGGAAGUGAGAUGUUCUUAUCAUUUCUGACAUCGGUGCACUCGAGCUACCAAGUGGUUGGAAACUUCUCUAUACCAUCUAACCACCAUGAGCCCUGUGCAUCUAUCUACAACCUGCAGAGUCAGUGUCAUAGAUUUAACAAGUAAAUGUAGUGGAACUCAUUUAAACAUAUGAUUUUUUUUUUGUUGCAUUAACUGGUGAAGUUCUGAGCUGAUCUCUGUCUCGAGGAGACGGAGACGAAAUCCUGAGGCUCUUUGUUUUUUUUUUCAUAGUGAGAUAUUAGAAAUGACACGUUAUGACCUUUAGUUCAAUGCCACAUUUAUGUAACUUUAAGUGCAAUAAACUGUUAUAAAUAUA